rnacentral:rRNA from 1 species
UACGUAGGGCGCAAGCGUUGUCCGGAAUUAUUGGGCGUAAAGAGCUCGUAGGCGGUCUGUCGCGUCGGAUGUGAAAAGCCCGGGGCUUAACCCCGGGUCUGCAUUCGAUACGGGCAGACGUAGAGUGUGGUAGGGGAGAUCGGAAUUCCUGGUGUAGCGGUGAAAUGCGCAGAUAUCAGGAGGAACACCGGUGGCGAAGGCGGGUCUCUGGGCCGAUACUGACGCUGAGGAGCGAAAGCGUGGGGAGCGAACAGG